CUUGCUAAUUUGCCUGUUGCAUGUGUGUUCAAAGCAAAGGAUUGAGUUCACUGCUGACUGGCUGGGUCCCAGAGCUGUGCCUCCUGUGAUCCCAAUAAGAAGAAGGAUGCAGAAACUGCUAGGAGUGGGUUUAGUGACUCUGUGGCUUCAGUUGGCCAGAGUGAACAGCCAACAAGGAGAAGCUAGUCCUCAGGUCAUGAGCAUCCAGGAGGGAGAAAAUGCCACCAUGAACUGCAGUUACAAAACUGAUAUAACCAACCUGCUGUGGUAUAGACAGGAUUCAGGUAAAGGUCCUGCUUUGGUGA